UGGGGAAUAUUGCACAAUGGGCGCAAGCCUGAUGCAGCCAUGCCGCGUGUAUGAAGAAGGCCUUCGGGUUGUAAAGUACUUUCAGCGGGGAGGAAGGGAGUAAAGUUAAUACCUUUGCUCAUUGACGUUACCCGCAGAAGAAGCACCGGCUAACUCCGUGCCAGCAGCCGCGGUAAUACGGAGGGUGCAAGCGUUAAUCGGAAUUACUGGGCGUAAAGCGCACGCAGGCGGUUUGUUAAGUCAGAUGUGAAAUCCCCGGGCUCAACCUGGGAACUGCAUCUGAUACUGGCAAGCUUGAGUCUCGUAGAGGGGGGUAGAAUUCCAGGUGUAGCGGUGAAAUGCGUAGAGAUCUGGAGGGAUACCGGUGGCGAACGCGGCCCCCUGGACGAAGACUGACGCUCAGGUGCGAAAGCGUGGGGAGCAAACAGG
rnacentral:rRNA from 1 species